UACGUAGGGUGCAAGCGUUAAUCGGAAUUACUGGGCGUAAAGCGUGCGCAGGCGGUUCUAUAAGACAGAUGUGAAAUCCCCGGGCUCAACCUGGGAACUGCAUUUGUGACUGUAGAGCUGGAGUACGGCAGAGGGGGAUGGAAUUCCGCGUGUAGCAGUGAAAUGCGUAGAUAUGCGGAGGAACACCGAUGGCGAAGGCAGCCCCCUGGGCCAAUACUGACGCUCAUGCACGAAAGCGUGGGGAGCAAACAGG
rnacentral:rRNA from 1 species